rnacentral:rRNA from 1 species
UACGUAGGGUGCAAGCGUUGUCCGGAAUCAUUGGGCGUAAAGCGCGCGUAGGUGGCUUCGUAAGUCCGUUGUGAAAGUCAAAGGCUCAACCUUUGAAUGCCGAUGGAUACUGCGAAGCUAGAGUACGGAAGAGGCGAGUGGAAUUCCUGGUGUAGCGGUGAAAUGCGCAGAUAUCAGGAGGAACACCGGUGGCGAAGGCGGGUCUCUGGGCCGAUACUGACGCUGAGGAGCGAAAGCGUGGGGAGCGAACGGG